UAGUCCACACCCUAAACGAUGAGUGCUAGGUGUUAGAGUAAUAUACUUUAGUACCCAAGCUAACGCGUUAAGCACUCCGCCUGGGGACUACGGUCGCAAGAUUAAAACUUAAAGGAAUUGACGGGGACCCGCACAAGCGGUGGAGCAUGUGGUUUAAUUCGAUGGUACGCGCGAAACCUUACCAGCCUUUGACAUGCAUGUAGUACUCUUUAGAGAUAAAGAGGAUUCUUAGCAAUAAGAAAGCAUGCACAGGUGCUGCAUGGCCGUUGUCAGCUCGUGUCGUGAGAUGUUGGGUUAAGUCCCGCAACGAGCGCAACCCUUUUCCUAAAUUGCCAACACGUAAUGGUGGGAACCUUAAGGAUACUGCCGGUGACAAACCGGAGGAAGGAAAGGAUGACUUCAGGUCCUCAUGGCCCUUAUAGGCUGGGCUACACAUGUGCUACAAUGGUGACUACAGAAAGAAGCAAUGGANCGAUCCGGAGCAAAUCUUAAAAGUCACCCCAGUUCGGAUUGUUCU
rnacentral:rRNA from 1 species